UGUACAUUUCAUUCCUAGAGUGUUGUCUUGUCUUUCUCUUAUGCUCCUGUGACCACGUUUGCCUCUGAGGCUGAGCCAAAGCUGUUGGCCCCCUGCCACUCCAGAAGCAAAGAGACAGCGGCAUCAAAUUUGAGGAAAAAUGGUAAUGAGUGGCAAAAUACUUAGGUUAUGUUUCUUUGCAGAACUUUCCAGACAAGCAAGCAAGGAGUUUGAGGGAAUAGUGCUAAUGUAUACUUUUGGGACACCUCGUUUUCAAGGUCUGAUAUUGUCUCUAAAGGGACUUUUUCUUUGAAAAGACCAGAAACUGUCAUCUUUAUCUCUAGUUAGCAGUUUCCUCCACAGUUGUUAUUAGGGGAGAUAUCAGUCACCAAGUCCUUGGUAGGAUCUCGGGGAAAAAAAGCCCUUGCAGUAUUCCGUAUCACAAAGCCCCAGGCCAUGCCCUUCUGCAUCCACACUGGAAAGAUCCAAGGCUCUGAGGCCCCCGGGCUGGUGGAGGUGACUCAUCUUUCUGACCCUGAGUGGAAGACAGUGGCAUGUUUGGUGCACACGGUGUGCCUGUCAGCAGUCAGCAUCCUGUUGGCCAGGAAAACACUACCUCUUCCUGGGAAAGGCUUUGUGUGCAGCUGAGGCAGAAGCACCAGUGGACAGAGGCCACUGAGUCAUAGAAGAAAACCUGGCUGAAUCCAGGGGUUCUGUGUUUGCCGUGGGAAGAAAGCUGCCCCAUUUGCACACCCCACCCUGACACCAAAACAAGUAGACAACUUACCCCUUUUCUGUGUUUAAGGAUUUUAUGGUCCAUUAGUACAGGGAGACUAUGGUAGCACACAUGUGAAUACCAAGGGAGGUGUAAAGCAGUAAUUCUGAAGAGCCCCAGUGGGUACUUUCUGUCGGCCCCUCCUUUCCCUGUUACUCUGACGGAGCUCGUUCAUCAGAGUCCUCUACUAUCCACCCCCAUGACUCUUCUCUUCCCCUGGCCUCAGUCACAGAUGGCUUAUUGACUUAGCUAGCUAUUUACUCAGUCCCUUGCACCAUAAAAAAAAUUGAGCCAGUUUAUAAAAAUACACAGAAUAGAAGAUGGAAUAAAUGACCAAGAUAAGCAAUGAAGAAGACAAGGAAACAGUUGAUAGAGCCAGCAGGAAUAUGAGGACACAGAAGUGUCUAUCAUAUGAUGUUCAGUUACUAGAAGUGGGCUGCAAAUAUGGAUCUAAGAGUCUGAGGAGCCAAAGAAAGGAGAAAAAGUAAUCAGGCAGAAGGAGUACAUCGGUGAGUUAGGAAAAGAUCCCCCUUUCUAAAGCAGAGCCGGGAGGGAGGUGAGUGAUCACAGUUCACACAUGCCAGGCACAUGGGCCAGAAACUGAGUUAAAUGCUCUUCUGCCAUUUUCUCCUCCGAUCCUGGCAACUGUGGGGUAGAUACUAUUGUGAUGCUCAUUUUACAGAUUAGAACACGAAGAAUUUGGGAGUAAGUUAGUAAUUUGCCCAAAACCAGAGAGUUAGUCAGUUAUAGAAAAGAGAUUCAAACCCAGGCUGUCAGUCUCUGUGUGUAGGGGCCAAACCAGGAAGUUCACCCUUCAGGGCAGUGGGGGAGCCCCAGGGAGAGAUUUCUGUAUCAGAUGCAGUAGCGAUUUUUGUAGGGCUGUGUCUCUUUACCACUUUCAAUGCAGUUCCUUAAUACAGGCACAAAAACAUAAGUGCAAUUGAAAUUCCGUGAAAGGAAUUCCUUGAACCAUAGCUGUCCAUGUGCUUAGUUCUUUGAUGAUCUAAUUUCUUUAUCUGUGUACAUGUAUAAAUAUUAUAGAUUCUAUUGGGAAGUAGAUCAGUUGCUCUAAUGCAUCCCAAACCCACUCUAGUACAAAUUAUUUAUACACCAGGAGAAACUUGAAGCUGAUGUCUUUGGCCCCACUACUCCCGAGCCUACCUCAGGAGCUGCUCUUCCAGCAUGCUGGGACGCCGGAGUGCACUGAAGGGCAACUUCACCUGCCUUGUGGCUCUUUCCUUCCAGCGUGUUCUUCAUGGAAUGCUUUAGGAACUGGGUAUUCACUCUGUUCAGGACCUCAUACCACUCAGGCAGCAGUUCUCAAACUUCCAACGGCCACAAGUCACGUCAAGCCAAUGCAGACCACCAGUGUUAGGGGCUGAGUGUAUCCUUUGGACAUUAGAGGCCAAUGACAGAAUUGACAAGGUACCUGAGACAAAUUGGACAGGAUGGGCAAAGUCAAGUUCUCAUCCGAAGUUGAGGAACGGCCCUCUGCUCACAGAGGGGAAAGCAGAGGGGUGGAGAUUAGACCAUUGGAAAGAGAGUUGGGAGGACAGUGAAAAUGUCCAGGCAGGAGGUGAUGUAUUCCUGAAGUUGGGUAGGAAAAGGACUAGACAGAAGAGGAAGGAUCAGUGUGAGCAAAGAGGGGACAUGGGGACAUGGGGACUGAUUAAACAUGAGAAGAGGGAAGAAGGAGGAAUCUCCAAUGUGCUGGGAUGCUGCAUGAAAAGGAAUCCUAACCACCCCCCGCCCCCUGCCACACACACAUUUCCAAACUGCCCAUGGCCCUGUAAUGCAAGAGGCAGCUGAUCUGUGGAUUUGAAAAAAUACCCCGUGUGCAAUAUUCACUUUGUAGUUAGAGCAAAGGUUCUUGACAUGGCUGCACAUUAGUAUCAUCUGGGGAGUUUGAAAUUCUUGUGCCUAGGCCCCAGCUCAGGCCAGAUGAAUCAGAAUCCCUGGGUAUUUUCAUACCUCUCCCCACCUUCCCCUGCAACAGAGGUAAGGCUAAUGUGCAGCCAGGGCUGGGAGCCUCUGGGCCGGGGGACACAGCAUGCAACUACCUGCCUGGACUCCUUAUUGGAAGUGUCCACAGCUUGAAGCUUAGUUUGGCUCAGCUUGGACCCCUGUUGCUUGGAGUGAGAGAAAUGACCUGACCUGUGGGACUCAGCCCUCUGUGCAGAGGCCGGCAGGGAAAGCCUGGAAGGGAAACAGGAAAGGAAGCCAGGUGUAUGGCACACGUGCUUCCCUCUGCCUGUGGAAGGAGGCAGCUGUCACACUUCUACAUGUCACAUUCACCCAGGGACAUUUGUCAGAUGCAGAUGCCUGGGUCUCACUCUCUCCUUGGGUCAAGAGUCUAGGGUUCGGCCCAGGAAUCUGCAUCUUAAUGGGUCCCAGGUGACAGUGACAGAGGGUUCACCACACACGUGUGCACGUGCACACCCCCCAAAACCCUGCGAGGCCUGCAGGAGCAAUGGUCUAUGGGCCCCUGUGAUGGACGCGUACAGGCAGAGAUUCUCCUUCACCCUGGACCCCGGUCCAGGAGAUUCUGAACAGUUGGGACUGAGGUAGUGCCCAGCAAUGUAAGUGUUAGAAACGAUUAGAACUUCCAUUUCUAAAAAUGGUUAAAAUGUCCACUUGGGGGCCUUCGUGGAAAAGAGGUGGACCUGCCCGAAGUUUUCUUUGUUUACUAGAAGGUGGAAGUGAAACCGGAAGGGCCCUUGGCUCACUUACUCCUUAUUCCCACCCAAAGGGAAACUGGGGGGCUUUCCGAGGCUGACGCUAGCAGCAAGCGCCAGAGGUAAAGUGGGAGCCGAAGAAGCGGCCUCCGGUCUCAGAGAACUUCAGUUUCAGCAGUGGGUCUCAGGCCGGAGGACCCCUGCCCCAGAGGCUCGGAUGUUCAGUGCUUGUGGGCUUAGGAAAGGUUCCCACCUGUCCUGGCCCUCCCUUAGGCCCUCUCCGUGGGAGAGGAGAGCCACACAGCCACCUUGCCACCCUCACCACUGGUCACUGGGAAGGUGCUGAAUGACGCAGGGGUUGCUGUACCCGGAGAAAAGGAAGCCAGGUUCUGGGCAGGUGCCACCUGCCCAGCAGGCUGCUCUCCCAGCUUUGUUUUUCCUUUCUCUAAGCCAGGAGAGGGUUGUGGGAGGGGUGUUCCCUCAGGAAGAAAAGGCACCUGGCCUCCUAAUCCCCCAAAGCAGAGGCAGCUCAGGCCCAGAGGCCCCAGGGUCUGGUUCCACUGUCCUCCCUAGAGAAAUAUGGGAGUGGGCUCGGAGAGGCCCAGGAGUGCUUCCGUGUCUCAUAGGAAGGGGAAACAAACCCUGCUGUUCCAGAGCAGGCUUCGGUCAGAGGGGCAGCAGCCGGUACCAGGACAAAGGCCCUUUUGGAGGAGGUGUCAGUGUUCACACCCCACACCCCAGAAAUGGGGCCUGGGCUGGUGUUUUCGCCAGCUAAGGCAGCUAUAACAAAAUGCCACAGACUGGGCGGCUUAGGCAACAGACAUGUAUCUCAGUUCUGGAGGCUGGGAAGAGGCUGGCCCAGUGCAACAGGGCAAUUACUCAGCUCUGUCUUCUCCAGUCCCAAUUCUGGACCUCCUCCAUGCAUUCUGAUCAAAAAGAAGGACUAAUCUGCUCUAAAGUGGGAGUCACCAGGAAUAACCCAGCCCUGUUGUCAGGAUUCAUUGUAGAGCUUUAAAUGUGUUAUAAGACAGUUUACAACGUUGAAGCAAAAUCCAGGGAUGUACAUGGGUUAAGUUAAAAGCACAAUUUUAUAUUUUCUCGUCAAGCAAGUUGACUUGAGGCAACAACUGAAGUAUAAUUUAAUUCAACAGGAAACAUCCCACUUGGAGGGAAAACAGAAAACCAAAAAAAAAAAAAAACCAAAAAAAAAAAAAAAAACCCCCCAAAAAAAACCUUAAAUUAAAGCCAAACAUUCUUUCCAAGGCACAGCACUGACAUUUCCAGAUUGACAAGCACAAUGAGUUUGUUUCCAUGAAACAAAAUCAUGAGUCCAGAGUUUGCCUUUGAAACAGCUUUCCACAUCAUCUCCAUUUCUCAAGGCUCAGGGAACGAUGCUCGUGGCCUUCCUCAGGGCCAGGUAGCCAGUGACGACAUCAGAUGGCAGCCUCCGGAUAUAGGAAAACUCUUCAAUGGUGCUGAACCGCAGCUUGCUCUGGGGGUCAGUGUAGUUGGCCUGGG